CUGCCUUCUCCCCAGGGUGGGCUGCACCCCUCUGUGAAGCUGUGACAGUGCCGAGUACUGACAGUCAACCUCAUUUUCCCGUUGGAUGACACUACAAAGCCAAACCUUGACACCUCAGGGGUCUCGUCAGGGUCUUGUCAGGCAGGCACUGGCAGAACUGUUUGUCACCAAACCGGGAAAAAUCCCAGAAUGACUUACCAGCCAGGGCAGGGGCUUCAGCACCCUGGGGUGAGCCUGGAAGAGCUUGGGGCAUCCCCAGACUAUCCGAGAGCCACAGAAUGGCUUCUCUUUUCUGUUCCUGGGUUACUGAUGGAUUUUUUUGCUUCUGCUCUUUUUCCUAGUUGAAUGUGAAGAGAUUAUUAUGUGCCAGGUAUUAGUGACGCAUUUUUCUCAGUGUUCAAAACAACCCUGAGAGAGCUAUUGCACCAAUCUGCGGAUACAAAAAUGGGAUCAGAGAGUGUAAGAUACUUGCUCGAGGUCACACAGCCAGGAACUGAUGCUCCAUUGGGAUUCAAACGCAAGCUCCCUGACCUUGCAGUCCACACUCCCAGGCUUUCUUUUCCACUACACCGACCUCCUGAGCUCCAGGGCUUUCUUUGCAAGAUUGGCCAUUGCAGUGCUAUUUUAGGCUCCCAAGACUGCAAGCCCAUAUUGGACCAUUUGUUAGGGAAGAACACAUACGAAUUGGCCACCUCUCAGAGCAAUUGGGUCCAUUCUGCUCUGGCAAGACACCGGCUGACAUUCAUUGGAAAUGUCUCCCCAAAACACACGUGCCUUGUCAGGCUGCAUGAGGAGCUGGUGUCUCUGUCUCCAGCUCUCUGUGCAUCUCUGACAUACCAGCACCAACAGAUGUCGUGGCGGGGGUUUGGGGAGUAGCUGGGGAAUGUUCCCAGGGAAUCAAAUGUAGACUUGAUAGGGGACAUCACUAGACACAGCCUCCGCAGGGGCUCAGCGUUCAGCACCAUCUGCCACACACCUCUGACCUCCGGUGCUGUUCCCAGGGCCGCAGAACGUCAGGGAACGACACAGACAAAUUCCUGCCCUCUACGAGCUGCUGCCCUUGUAGGGAGACAGGUGAAAGAACACGAGUCAUUUCAGAAGGGAAGCUGAGAGGCCACACUCAGAGGCACCUUCAGGGCCUCGCCUAGGGAGACCCCCAGCCUGGUGUCCUGUUUGGGGCCCAGGAGCACCCUGGCCUUCCUCCUGUCACACCUGUCAUGGCAGUAAUCGAAUCUUUGUGUCAUUAGCUGUGCCAUGUCUGCUUUCCCUCCAGGCACCAAGCACCGAGGGGUUGUUGUUGGUUGUGUCCCUGAACCUGGUAGGAGUCUCAUGUGCGUUGGAUGAAGGGAGGAAGUGGGCAGGUGAACUUUCAAGAGAUUCCAGAUUCUUGUGGUCAAGAUACAGGCUUUGAAGACCUUCAUUCUGGGGGUGAGCGUGGUAUCCUCCCGAGUCUCCAGUUGACCCUCUGUGAGGUGGAAGGAAGAAUGACAUCUGUUCUAUGGGGUUGUCAGGACCGUUACCUGAAAAGCACCUCUGGUACAAAAUGUGAUUUUUAAUGCUCCAAAGUUUCCACUAUUGGGGGCAGGAAACUGUGCCCGAGUUUCAUACCUGCCCUCUCUUCUAGAGCUAAGGGGCAGGUACAGAAGUCAAUGCAGACCCACCUCCCCUGCACCCGCUCCAGUUGCCCUGGGUGGUCAAGGUUUCACAGUGAUGGCUUUAGUCCUCCAAAGGCCAUCAAAUGGCAAAAACGCAUUGCCAGAGCUUGCUGCAGGCCCCCAGAAGGAGAAUUCCUAGGGUGAUUCUUCUUGGCACACACUUGCUGCAGACUGGGAGUGUUUUGGGGUUAUUGUCCUCACGGAGGAAGGUGGAGUUUGCUCAGAGGUGAUGUUGAGAUGCCAUAUGCUGGACCGAGCUAAGCAGCUAUUGUGACUCAACUUCGGCGGUAUCAGGUGGUGAUCAGCUAUUCCUAAUGCUCCAGCACAUUCUAAUAUGUACCUGUUGUUAAUGGGAAUGGGGGUAGGAAGAAAGGUGGCUUGGAAUCAGUGCCUGCCAUAAACUAAUAAGGAUGUCAGAAAGAUUCGAACUAUAGUCUGAUUUUCUUCUCUUUUUUUUUUUGAUGUCUUCUUUUUUCUUUUCUUUUCUUUUUUUUUGAAAUGGAGUCUUGCUCUGUCACCCAGGCUGGAGUGCAGUGGUGCGAUCUCAGCUCACUGCAACCUCUACCUCCCGGGUUCAAGUGAUUCUCCUGCCUCAGUCUCCCAAGUAGCUGGGACUACAGGCAUGAGUCAUCACACCUGGCUAGUUUUUUUGUAUUUUUAGUAGAGACAGGGUUUUGCCAUGUUGGCCAGGCUGGUCUCAAACUCCUGACCUCCGGUGAUCUGCCCGCCUCAGCCUCCCAAAGUGCUGAGAUUACAGGUGUGAGCUACCAUGCCCGGCUCCUUUUUUGAUGUCUUUUAACUAAAAUCAUUUGUUAUUGUUUCAGUGGGCUUGGGAAAUGGCUCUACUGGCAGAAAAGAGAAUUUUAUUUAGUAACAAGUUGAAAAUCCCCAGUGGCUCUGGGAUCUGGAUGGUGGAUAAAGGUUGAUUGUGACCUCCACGAACCAACUCUUC
rnacentral:lncRNA from 10 species